rnacentral:lncRNA from 1 species
AUGAAGCAGUUUCUUAAAGAUGGAGCUACUGAUUGGGAUGCUGUUAUUGAUGCUGGUGGUCACCAGCUGUAAUAAUUUCAUUGGGACUUAAGUGCCACCCGCUGUGAAGCGCGGGUACAAAGAGCAUCAAAGAGUAGUUAAGUAACUUUAACCUUGGGUUGCAUCUACAAAAUACUCAACCCAUGUUUCCUUUGUAAACAUUAAGGGCUUCCUUGGGGUAGAAAGUCUCCAUUAUCAAUAGGAAGCAUGGCAUCAGCAUCAUCCACUCUAGGAGCUGCCAUUUUUGACCUUUUCUGGUUAGAGUAUAAUCACUCUUCUGAGUUAGAAGAGUAACAGUCGUAUUUCCAAUUUCAAUUUCAUUCAGAUGACUAACCUUAAUAGAUGUGUUUAAACGGUAAAAUCUUGAGAAAGUAUACGUGGACUUCUAUUUUUAGUGACCAUGCCUUUAUCUUAACAUUUUAUUACAUUGUUGCAGAGAG